ACAAAUCUUCUCUAUACUUGAAACAAACAGUGCGGCACGUUAAAUUUGCAAUAUCCAGAAAUGAAGAAGGUUGCUGUUUUCUAUUGUCUUCUUGUAAUAAUUCUCAUGUUAUCAAUGGAUGAGUGGUGUCUGCAAAGCCAAGCCAGGAUCUUGGAGUUGUCCCCUAUAAAAUCCCAAGAAGUCAGGAAUGAUUUAAUCCGAGGUCGCAGUAACAGGGUGACUUGGAGCAAUACCAAUCCUUCACCAUAUCCAAAUAUGAGAAGUCAUUAACGAUGUGGUGACAAUUGCUUUUAGGGCUGCUGAGGAUGGGCAUGGGAAAUACUUCCGGAAAUUUGGGAUGAGAUGGAACAAAAUGGCAUCUACAGGCUGUUUGAGUUUUGAAAUGUUACGUUUACUAUAAAUCGGAAAAGGAUAAUAUUUAAUUACCCCUCUGUUACAAUGUUUAAAUAUAACCUCAGUCUGAGUAUUCGAUUG